AGAGGCGCUCUGACCCCCUGGCAAGGGCUGAGGCCACAGAGGACCCUGGUGGGAGGAGGAGGAGGGACCCGGACUUGCCAGCGCCCCCAGGCUUUCUGCCCCUGGCGUCCACGCCCUGCCCCCCCCCAGCUCAGACAGCAGGAGCCACGCCCCAUGGAGAAGGCGUCCCUGGCACCUGUCCCCAGCGUCACCUCCUCGGCCUCCCUGUGCCCCAGAAAGCGAAGGCAUGGAGGCCUUCAUGGCGCAUCGCAGCCCGGUCCAGCCCCCAGGCUGAGUGCAGGCCUGGGCAGGGGUCCUCGGCCCCCUCCCCCCACCGGCUCCCCGCUUGUGGCCUGGGGGCAUGAAUGGCUUCAGUUCCCUGCGGGGCCUUCGGGGAGCCCCCCACUGCAGCCACUCCUGCACGAGACCUCACACAGGGCACGGGUGGUCUCCCCCGGAGUGGGGGCUGAUGGGACCCCAGCCCCAGGGCUCCUUCCUUGUAGCUGGGAGGCAGCGGCGGCGGCGGGGGUGUGUGUGUCUUUCUCUGCCUCUGUCCUCCAGCCGUCUGGGCCGCUGCCCGAGUCCUGGAUGGCGGGAGGUAGGACGUGGGGGCUCUGGCCUUUUCUGGCACUGCUGGGAGGCGCCGCGCCCCCUUCCCAGGAGCCCCGUGACCGUCACCCACUGCACCACGGCCCCUCUGAAGCCCCUCCCCCUCUCCAGCUGCUCUGGCCCCCAGCCAGGCGGCACAGCUCUGGGGCCGCCCUCGGGCCACCGGGUGGGUGCAGCCUCCAGUGGGCAGGGGGUGAGAGCUGGGCGUUGGGCGUUUAUUCCCGAAGCCCCUGGUGCGGGUCCAGCGUGCACGGUGGGCGCUAUUUAUUGAGUGCCGACUGUAUGCCUCGGGUUAAGCCGAGCCACGUGGCCUUGGGGAGGUCGCCGCCUCUGCCUAGGACGCCCGUGGAGCUGUCCCACAGAGGAGGGGACCGGACAGACGCUGAGGGAGUUGCGGCUGGAGGCUUUCCCGCGGGCAUCGAGUGGGGGCGGGAGUCCCCCUGCAGGGCGGGGCUCACGGCUGCUCACCCUGCUGGGAGGGGACCAGAGUGCCCUGGAUUCACUCCUGGCUGUCCCU
rnacentral:lncRNA from 1 species